rnacentral:piRNA from 1 species
UGAGACAUUUUUUUUCCUUCUGUAAUUGCUC